rnacentral:rRNA from 1 species
GAUGAACGCUGGCGGCGUGCCUAAUACAUGCAAGUCGAGCGAUCAUACGCCUUCCUUGCUCCUCUGUCUUUAUCGGCGGCCGGCUGAUUAACACGUCGUUAACCUCCCUCUCCCACUUUCUUAACUUCUGGAUACCGGUGCUACUACCAGAUAAUAUAUUGAAUCUCAUGGUUCAAUAUUUUAAGACGGUUUUUCUUUCGCUUAUAGAUGGACUCGCGCCGCAUUAGCUAGUUGGUAAGGUAAUGGCUUACCAAGGCAACGAUGCGUAUCCGACCUGAGAGGGUGAUCGGAAACACUGGAAGUGAGACACGGUCCAGACAGAUACGGGAGGCAGCAGUAGGGAAGGUUCAGCAAAGGGUGAAAGCAUGACGGAGGAACGCAGCGUGAGUGAUGAAGGUCGUCGGAUCGUAAAAAUCUGUUAUUAGGGAAGAACAAAGGUGGAAGUAACUAUGCACGUGUUGACGGUAGCUAAACAGAAAGCCACGGCUAACUACGUG